UACGAAGGGGGCUAGCGUUGCUCGGAAUCACUGGGCGUAAAGCGCACGUAGGCGGAUCUUUAAGUCAGGGGUGAAAUCCUGGAGCUCAACUCCAGAACUGCCUUUGAUACUGGGGAUCUCGAGUCCGGAAGAGGUGAGUGGAACUCCGAGUGUAGAGGUGAAAUACGUAGAUAUCUGGAGGAACACCGGUGGCGAAGGCGGCUACCUGGCCCAACAUUGACGCUGAGACCCGAAAGCAUGGGGAUCAAACAGG
rnacentral:rRNA from 1 species